rnacentral:rRNA from 1 species
AUUGAACGCUGGCGGCAUGCCUUUCACAUGCAAGUCGAACGGUAACGUGGGGCAACCUGGCGACGAGUGGCGAACGGGUGAGUAAUGUAUCGGAACGUGCCCAGUUGUGGGGGAUAACUGCUCGAAAGAGCAGCUAAUACCGCAUACGACCUGAGGGUGAAAGCGGGGGAUCGCAAGACCUGGCGCAGUUGGAGCGGCCGAUAUCAGAUUAGGUAGUGGGUGGGGUAAAGGCUCACCAAGCCAACGAUCUGUAGCUGGUCUGAGAGGACGACCAUCCACACUGGGACUGAGACACGGCCCAGACUCCUACGGGAGGCAGCAGUGGGGAAUUUUGGACAAUGGACGCAAGUCUGAUCCAGCCAUGCCGCGUGCGGGAAGAAGGCCUUCGGGUUGUAAACCGCUUUUGUCAGGGAAGAAACGCUCUGGGUUAAUACCUCGGGGUAAUGACGGUACCUGAAGAAUAAGCACCGGCUAACUACGUGCCAGCAGCCGCCGUAACAC